GACGAACGCUGGCGGCGUGCUUAACACAUGCAAGUCGAGCGGUAAGGCCUCUUCGGGGGUACACGAGCGGCGAACGGGUGAGUAAUACGUCGGUGACCUGCCCUCAGCUCGGGGAUAAGCCUCGGAAACUGGGCCAAAUCCGGGUUAUGACUUUUCCUGGCAUCGGGGUUGGAAGCAGGUUUUUUUGGCUGGGGAUGGGCGGGCGGCCUGUUAGCUUGUUGGUGGGGUGAUGGCGUACCAAGGGGACGACGCGUAGCAGGCCUGAGAGGGCGAGCGGCCAAACUGGGAGGGAGGCACGGCCCAGGAAUCUACGGGAGGGAGCAGAGGGGAAUACUGCGAAAGGGGCGGAAGCCUGACGCAGCGACGGCGUGUGGGGGGUGACGGCCUGGGGGGAGUAGACUUCUUCCGACCCCGGCGAAUGUUGACGGUAGCGGUAGAAGAAGCACCGGCCAACUACGUG
rnacentral:rRNA from 1 species